rnacentral:rRNA from 1 species
GAUGAACGCUAGCGGCAGGCCUAAUACAUGCAAGCCGAACGGCAAGCUUUGUAGCAAUACGGAGCCUAGAGUGGCGUAAGGGUGCGUAACACGUAUGCAAUCUACCCUCAACAGGAGAAUAGCUCCCCGAAAGGGGAAUUAAUGUUCCAUAGGAUCAUGGUGCGGCAUCGCACAGUGAUUAAACCGCAAGGGGUUGAGGAUGAGCAUGCGCANGAUUAGUUAGUUGGCGGGGUAACGGCCCACCAAGACGAUGAUCAUUAGGGGAACUGAGAGGUUGACUCCCCCACACUGGCACUGAGAUACGGG